CAAAAACAUUUUUUAGUGUUAUUAUAUUAAAUAUAAUCUGCUCCCUGUAUUAUUAAAAGCCGCAGAAAAUUUACUGUGCUAAGGUAGCAUAAUCACUUGUCUUUUAAUUAAAGACUAGAAUGAAAGAUAUCACAAUUAAUAAUUUUUCUUAAUUAUAAGCUAUUUAAAUUACAACUAAAAUAAAAAUAUUUUUAUUAAAAUAAAAGACGACAAGACCCUAUUGAACUUUACUGCAGUUUAGCUGGGGAAGCUAAACAAUAAUAAUCUUGAAUUAAUUACUUCAAUAAAUAUCUAUUCAAAUAAAUUAAUCAAGUUACCAAAGGGAUAACAGCGUUAUAAACUUUUAAAGUUCAUAUUUUCAAGAUUUUAUACGACCUCGAUGUUGAAUUAAUUUAUCUCUCACAUGCAAGAAUAGGAAAAGUAAGUCUGUUCGACUUUUAAAAAAUUACAUGAUCUGAGUUCAAACCGG
rnacentral:rRNA from 1 species